rnacentral:rRNA from 1 species
CCUACGGGAGGCAGCAGUGGGGAAUAUUGCACAAUGGGCGAAAGCCUGAUGCAGCAACGCCGCGUGAGCGAUGAAGGCCUUCGGGUCGUAAAGCUCUGUCCUCAAGGAAGAGAAUGACGGUACUUGAGGAGGAAGCCCCGGCUAACUACGUGCCAGCAGCCGCGGUAAUACGUAGGGGGCUAGCGUUAUCCGGAAUUACUGGGCGAAAAGGGUGCGUAGGUGGUUUCUUAAGUCAGAGGUGAAAGGGUACGGCUCAACCGUAGUAAGCCUUUGAAACUGGGGAACUUGAGUGCAGGAGAGGAGGGUGGAAUUCCUGGUGUAGCGGUGAAAUGCGUAGAUAUUAGGAGGAACACCAGUUGCGAAGGCGGCUCUCUGGACUGUAACUGACACUGAGGCACGAAAGCGUGGGGAGCAAACAGGAUUAGAUACCCUAGUAGUC